AAAAAGACCAUGAUAAGAAGGAGUAGUUAGUGAGAGUUAUUUAGAGAGGAAGUGGAGGGUGUAAACUUCUUAACGUAGCUAAUGAAGGCUGUCUUUAGUCUUAUUACUUUAAGUGACACUAUUUAAUAUAGUGUAAUUAGGGUGGUACCGCGGAAUUAUAACUUUCGUCCCUUAG
rnacentral:ncRNA from 1 species